AUGGGUUUCAAAACAGUCUCCUGCCAUCUUUUCUGCAGUUUAGAGAAUGGCACUGGCUUCGCAGAGGAAGGUGCAUUGGAAACAGCUAAUACAGAAGACAGGGAAAACAGGAGGAAAGCAGGCCACAGACAGAGUCUCACUCUGUUACCCAGUCAGUCACCCAGGUUGGAAUACAAUGGCACCAUCUGAGCUCACUGCAACCUCCACCUCCUGAAUUCAAGUGAUUCUCCUGCUUCAGCCUCCUGAGUAGCUGGGAUUACAGGUGCUCACCACCAGGCAUGGCUAAUUUUUGUAUUUUAAGUAUAGAUGAGAGUUUCACCACAUUGGUCAGGCCGGUCUCAAACUCCUGACCCCGUGAUCUGCCAGCCUCAGCCUCCCAGAGUGCUGGGAUUACAGGCAUGAACUACUGCACCUGGCCCCAAUCUCUUUUCUUAAUGUCCUUGCCCAGUGUUGGCUGCCUCAAGGGCUCACAAUUCUGACAGUAUGAAAAACCAGAGAUGUAACCAGUUACACCACUGUCUUUGGAGCAGCUUCCAAGAACUCGGCUUCAAGUAUGGG
rnacentral:lncRNA from 1 species